rnacentral:rRNA from 1 species
UACGUAGGGUGCAAGCGUUGUCCGGAAUUAUUGGGCGUAAAGAGCUCGUAGGCGGUUUGUCGCGUCGAAUGUGAAAACCCGGGGCUCAACUCCGGGCCUGCAUUCGAUACGGGCAGACUAGAGUUCGGUAGGGGAGACUGGAAUUCCUGGUGUAGCGGUGAAAUGCGCAGAUAUCGGGAGGAACACCAAUGGCGAAGGCAGCUCGCUGGGACGGUACUGACGCUGAGACGCGAAAGCGUGGGUAGCGAACAGG